UACGUAGGUGGCGAGCGUUGUCCGGAUUUACUGGGCGUAAAGAGCGCGUAGGCGGUCGUGCAAGUCGCGUGUGAAAGCCCCCGGCUCAACUGGGGAGGGUCACGCGAUACUGCUCGACUCGAAGGCAGGAGAGGGAAGUGGAAUUCCCGGUGUAGUGGUGAAAUGCGUAGAUAUCGGGAGGAACACCAGUGGCGAAGGCGACUUCCUGGCCUGUUCUUGACGCUGAGGCGCGAAAGCUAGGGUAGCAAACGGG
rnacentral:rRNA from 1 species